CCCAACAUACUGAUUCUGUGCAUCCUUAACACUGAGGCCCCUCGCCUGCAGCUGGAGGCAGCUCUCUGCUCAGCCUGCAGUGCAGAGUGACACAGGCAGGCGACAUCGUCACUAAGCAUCAACUUCUCUUACAUGGAGGAGGCAGAGAGUGAAAACCAUUCGGAACCGUGACAAGGCAUGAGAGAAGCAAAGGGGUAGCUGCAAAGUUUUGGACAAGAUCUCUGCAGGCAACUGGAAGCACAGUGUACCCAGGUGGUGGGUCUCGUCUGUGGCAAUAUAUUUUUUUUGUCUGUCAAAUUGAAUAUGGCUAUAAAGGGAAUAAAACCCCAUGUAAUCUCCA